UGGGGAAUAUUGCACAAUGGGCGCAAGCCUGAUGCAGCCAUGCCGCGUGUAUGAAGAAGGCCUUCGGGUUGUAAAGUACUUUCAGCGGGGAGGAAGGGAGUAAAGUUAAUACCUUUGCUCAUUGACGUUACCCGCAGAAGAAGCACCGGCUAACUCCGUGCCAGCAGCCGCGGUAAUACGGAGGGUGCAAGCGUUAAUCGGAAUUACUGGGCGUAAAGCGCACGCAGGCGGUUUGUUAAGUCAGAUGUGAAAUCCCCGGGNUCAACCUGGGAACUGCAUCUGAUACUGGCAAGCUUGAGUCUCGUAGAGGGGGGUAGAAUUCCAGGUGUAGCGGUGAAAUGCGUAGAGAUCUGGAGGAAUACCGGUGGCGAAGGCGGCCCCCCUGGACGAAGACUGACGCUCAGGUGCGAAAGCGUGGGG
rnacentral:rRNA from 1 species